rnacentral:rRNA from 1 species
GUAGGGAAUCUUCGGCAAUGGACGAAAGUCUGACCGAGCAACGCCGCGUGAGUGAAGAAGGUUUUCGGAUCGUAAAACUCUGUUGGUAGAGAAGAACGUUGGUGAGAGUGGAAAGCUCAUCAAGUGACGGUAACUACCCAGAAAGGGACGGCUAACUACGUGCCAGCAGCCGCGGUAAUACGUAGGUCCCAAGCGUUGUCCGGAUUUAUUGGGCGUAAAGCGAGCGCAGGUGGUUUCUUAAGUCUGAUGUAAAAGGCAGUGGCUCAACCAUUGUAUGCAUUGGAAACUGGUAGAAUUGAGUGCAGGAGAGGAGAGUGGAAUUCCAUGUGUAGCGGUGAAAUGCGUAGAUAUAUGGAGGAACACCGGUGGCGAAAGCGGCUCUCUGGCCUGUAACUGACACUGAGGCUCGAAAGCGUGGGGAGCAAACAGGAUUAGAUACCCUAGUAGUCC